AACUGUCACGGCGAGGCAAUUUUGCGAGACAACGGGAGUCUCUCGGGUGGUCGUGUGAUCAAGUUUUUGUGAGGAACCUGCAUGAUCUUGCGCAUGAAGUAAUUAUUUUUGGACAGUUCCUUCUCUGGACGGUGUUACAAGUACAGGCAAGCAUCAACGGUUGUUAUUGCUGUACUUUGUGGUGCUGUGAUUCACCAGUGCGGAUCGAAGAGCACCGUUUUCUCCAGCCCUGAUUCUACAAUUUGGAGAUGGGGUACAAGGAGAAGUGCAAGUGUAUUCCACAUCUUGAGGGAGAUGCAAGAUAUGCUUCCGCAAUCCUUGCUGCAAGUGUUCAAAUAAAUGGUUGCAAGUUUCA